GGUAAGUCGGGACCUAAGGCGAGGCCGAAAGGCGUAGUCGAUGGACAACAGGUAGAGAUUCCUGUACCCGUAUAUAUGUGAAGGAAUGACGGAGAGAGGAAGCUGCAGCCAGCGGCUGGAAGAGCUGGUGCAAGCGAGAUAUCGGGAUGGCAGGCAAAUCCACCAUCCGAAACGAGAAGGCGUGAAGCGUACGGAAAGCUACGGCGAGUACGGAAGGCAGUGGAGGAACUUCCAAGAAAAGUUUCUAACGUUAAGUAUAUAUGGCCCGUACCGAAAAUGGACACACAUGGGUGAGGAGAGAAUCCUAAGGUGAGCGAGAGAACUAUAGCUAAGGAACUCUGCAAAAUGACUCCGUAACUUAGGGAGAAGGAGUGCUCAUAGAGAUAUGAGCCGCAGUGAAACGGCCCAAGCGACUGUUUACCAAAAACACAGCUCUCUGCUAAGCCGCAAGGCGAAGUAUAGGGGGUGACGCCUGCCCGGUGCUGGAAGGUUAAGGGGAGGGGUUAACGCAAGUGAAGCCCUGAACUGAAGCCCCAGUAAACGGCGGCCGUAACUAUAACGGUCCUAAGGUAGCGAAAUUCCUUGUCAGGGAAGUUCUGACCCGCACGAAAGGCGUAACGAUUUGGGCGCUGUCUCAGCUGUAGACUCGGUGAAGUCUUAGUACCUGUGAAGAUGCAGGUUACCCGCGACUAGACGGAAAGACCCCAUGGAGCUUCACUGCAGGUUGAUAUUGGGAUUUGAUGCAGCAUGUACAGGAUAGGUAGGAGGCAAAGAGAUGGAUACGCCAGUAUUCAAGGAGCCGCUGUUGGGAUACUACCCCUGUUGUAUUGGAUUUCUAACCGGACGACGUAGAGCCGUUGACGGGACAGUGUCAGUCGGGCAGUUUGACUGGGGCGGUCGCCUCCCAAAGAGUAACGGAGGCGCCCAAAGAUACCCUCAGCUUGGAUGGAAACCAAGCGCAGAGUGCAAAGGCAAAAGGGUGUUUGACUGCGAGACCCACAAGUCGAGCAGGGACGAAAGUCGGGCUUAGUGAUCCGGCGGUGCUGAAUGGAAAGGCCGUCGCUCAACGGAUAAAAGCUACCCUGGGGAUAACAGGCUGAUCUCCCCCAAGAGUUCACAUCGACGGGGAGGUUUGGCACCUCGAUGUCGGCUCAUCGCAUCCUGGAGCUGAAGUCGGUUCCAAGGGUUGGGCUGUUCGCCCAUUAAAGCGGUACGCGAGCUGGGUUCAGAACGUCGUGAGACAGUUCGGUCCCUAUCUGUCGUGGGCGCAGGAAAUUUGAGAAGAGCUGUCCUCAGUACGAGAGGACCGGGAUGGACGCAUCAAUGGUGGACCAGUUGUCACGCCAGUGGCAUAGCUGGGUAGCUAAAUGCGGAAGGGAUAAACGCUGAAGGCAUCUAAGUGUGAAACCCACUUCA
rnacentral:rRNA from 1 species